rnacentral:rRNA from 1 species
CGCAGGCGGCCAGGUAAGUCGAAUGUGAAAGCCCCCGGCUCAACUGGGGAGGGUCAUUCGAUACUGCUUGGCUUGAAGGUAGGAGAGGGAAGCGGAAUUUCGGGUGUAGUGGUGAAAUGCGUAGAUAUCUGAAGGAACACCAGUGGCGAAGGCGGCUUUCUGGCCUAUUCUUGACGCUGAGGCGCGAAAGCUAGGGGAGCGAACG